rnacentral:rRNA from 1 species
AUUAAACGCUGGCGGCAUGCCUUACACAUGCAAGUCGAACGGCAGCACGGGGGCAACCCUGGUGGCGAGUGGCGGACGGGUGAGUAAAGCAUCGGAACGUAUCCUGGAGUGGGGGAUAACGUAGCGAAAGUUACGCUAAUACCGCAUAUUCUGUGAGCAGGGAAAGCAGGGGAUCGCAAGACCUUGCGCUCUGGGAGCGGCCGAUGUCGGAUUAGCUAGUUGGUGGGGUAAAGGCCUACCAAGGCGACGAUCCGUAGCGGGUCUGAGAGGAUGAUCCGCCACACUGGGACUGAGACACGGCCCAGACUCCUACGGGAGGCAGCAGUGGGGAAUUUUGGACAAUGGCGGAAGCCUGAUCCAGCCAUGCCGCGUGAGUGAAGAAGGCC